rnacentral:tRNA from 1 species
GCGGGAUUCAUCUAGUGGCCUAGGAUGCGAGAUUUUCAGUCUUGUCACAGGAGUUCGAAUCUCCUAUCCCGUACCA